rnacentral:lncRNA from 1 species
CACCUGAGGGUCCUCCGCUGGACAUGCAGCUGCAGGGCCUCACUGCUCACAGCAUCAGAGUCACAUGGAAGGUGGGUCACACACGUCACACAGUUUGCUGGUGUUAUUAACAAGCCCAUCUUACAGUCCCGCUUCUCCCCUCAUUAGCCCCCCAAACCAGAUCUCACAAACGGGGUCCUUCGCAGCUACGUCAUCAGCUACAGGGAGUACGACAAACAGUUCGGACGGUGGCAACGCCUGAGCGUGAGCGCCACCAGAGAGGUGGAGAGCAUCGUUCUGAGCAACCUCAAGCCCUCCACCCAAUACGGCGUGCUGGUCCAGGCCAAGACGAACGCAGGGGUCGGACCUGCUUCCACGGGGCCGCUCUGCUCCACCCUGGAUGAGCUUCAAACAAUGUCCACUCCUCCUCCUACAUGGAUACACGGAACUACACCUUCCGGCCACCUGGAAAGGGCCCCCACCCGGGUGCCUGUGACGGCUGCUACAGUGUGGGGAGACAGCGACUCGACGACCAGGGGGACCUCAGGUCAGGCUGCACAUGCUCUUCCUCUGGCUCGUGAGAGAUAAAAAUGACCAAAUCUAGGUGAUAUAUGGAACGUCCAUUGUUUCCUUUUUAGUGCCGCCAGACCCCCCAGUGGUUGAGUUAAAGGAGGUCAAAGACAACAUGUUUUCUCUGGCCUGGACUCCCGGGUUUGAAGGUGACAGCCCCAUCGUGGGUUUCAUCCUGGAGUAUAAAGCUCUUAAUGCCUCCUGGGAUUCCACCAAGACCGUUGUGGAGUUUGGCCCUAAUCAGACCGAUGCCACCAUCUUAGAGAUGAACCCCUCCACCUAUAAUGUCCGCAUAUUUGCCAGGAACAGCCUGGGAACCAGUAAUGCCAGCAAUGUUCUGACCAUCACUACCACAAAAACAGGUGCCCAAAACUGCUUCUUUGAAAUUGUCUUUACCUUCCGCUGA